CAAAGUUAAUUUUAAUUAUGUGCAUUUCUCAUGUUCACUAUCUGCAACAUCUAAGGGGCCCUGGUUAUGACAGCCCUGUUUAAACUAGUGACUGCUAAGUAAAUUGAAAGUUAUAAGUGUCCUGGAUUUAAUGUACAUAAAGCAACUAAGCAUGUAAACAUUAAUUAUAGGGCAUUAUAAGGUAAAAUAAAUUAUAUUUUUCUAGGCACUUUCAAGAAUCCCAGUUUGAGCAAAAUCGCGCAGAUGGCUGGAUGAAGCUGAAGCAGAAGACUGCCAUUUCAACAGUGUUUGCACGUUCUAAUCGCAAGAGAAGGAAAUCACCAAUGAUGCGAAAUGCUCCAUUACCAAAGGUACUUUGUCAAGAGUAACAAACGAUAUCUGGGAGACGCUGAUGGACGCUGCGUCUAGUCAACGACCGUAGGUUGUGCACGGCUGCCGGAGCACCUUCGGGAAACGCUAACCGCCGAUUCAAGCCUGCACAGCAGUGACUGGAGAUACAGCAACCUUGUAUGAAAAGUGCCGAUAAGACAGUGCAGCCAACAGAAGGUCACCCCAGGAGCUACUAUCGCCCGAAGAUGUCACAGGUGGUCAUGAUUCUUUGAGGCAGCGGAAUUUCACCGCAGUGCAUCUUUAACACCUUCAGUUUCUUUUCUACUGCAAGCCUGGUACUACAGCUUGUGGCCCGUGUAGAAGAAUAGAGGGGUGAAACCAAGGCUCAAGUGACUGUGGACUCAUGGCCCUCAGACAGCUAGAGCACCAGACCAGGCACAGACCAGAGCCAUUUAUGCUCCACUUCUAGAGGAUAUGUUGCAGUUUGAAACUACCAAGACUCAUGGAAGCUGCUGACAGGAGGCUGUUGAAGCCGUGGUCGCAAGGCACCCAUGACAUUGAAGUCUUCCAAACAAGGCACUAUGAAGGCAUGACUUGUAGCGGCACUGGAGCAAGCGACACGGUCCGGGUGAGCCGCAAGUGUAACUGUUACACUGUAAACAGGAAAUAUAGACAUGUGUCCGACAAAGCACAGACUCAUAAAACUUUCAUGUAGCAAUAAUAGUUUAAUUUAACUAAACAGUGCAUCAACAGAGCCUGACCCAAGAAUGGGGAAUUGGGGAACCGGCCAAUGUGUAGAGUCUAACAGAAACAAGGAAGGCGAUAAAAACAAAUGGGGCAACAUGUUAAGAUAGGACAAUAAUGUCGUGCCUAUUUUUUGUUUUCAAUUAAGAUUUUAUAGGAGCUAGCAAAAUAUGUCCUUGCAAUGGAAUAGACCUACUUUUACAAAAAGACCUUCAAUGUUUUUGUUAAAAUAAAUUGCGUCUGAGGAGGUGGAAAUAUGAUUUUCCCAAUUGCGCAUUAACAUAUCUUCGAGCUCCACAGGGUAAUAAAACAUCCCGAAACGUAAAUAUUUUUAUGCA